CGCGGCCUAUCAGCUUGUUGGUGAGGUAACGGCUCACCAAGGCAUCGACGGGUAGCUGGUCUGAGAGGACGAUCAGCCACACUGGGACUGAGACACGGCCCAGACUCCUACGGGAGGCAGCAGUAGGGAAUCUUGCGCAAUGGGGGAAACCCUGACGCAGCAACGCCGCGUGUGGGAUGACGGCUUUCGGGUUGUAAACCACUUUCAGUGAUGACGAAAAUGACGGUAAUCACAGAAGAAGGUCCGGCCAACUACGUGCCAGCAGCCGCGGUAACGCGUAGGGACCGAGCGUUGUCCGGAUUUAUUGGGCGUAAAGAGCUCGUAGGCGGUUCUGUAAGUCGGAUGUGAAAACUCAGGGCUCAACCCUGAGACGCCAUCUGAUACUGCAGUGACUAGAGUCCGGUAGAGGAAGAUGGAAUUCCUGGUGUAGCGGUGGAAUGCGCAGAUAUCAGGAGGAACACCAAUGGCGAAGGCAGUCUUCUGGGCCGGUACUGACGCUGAGGAGCGAAAGCAUGGGGAGCAAACAGGAUUAGAUACCCUGGUAGUCCACGCCGUAAACGUUGGGUACUAGGCGUGGCGUCUUAUCAACGGAUGCCGUGCUCGAAGCUAACGCGUUAAGUACCCCGCCUGGGGAGUACGG
rnacentral:rRNA from 1 species